AGACGUUAGAGCCGUCCUACCGCACUGUGUGACUGAUCUCCAGCUUCUCAAAGGUCGCAGUUAUGUGUUCCUAUAGAGACUAUCACUGAAACGACUGCUCACCUCCUCUCCGGAACCUGUCUCGUUAUCGCUUGACUGGUCAAUGGUAACCAUGGAAUAUUUCGUGAGAUGUUUCCACCAGAACUUUCUAGGAUGUAAAAAAUUUGGCGCAAGAAUAGACAAUUUUGGCACAAAAAGUGCAUGAACAAUAGAAAACAUCAGAAAAUGUUCCACCAAGAAAGAUACACAAAAAAGACGCAAAGAGUGACAUUGCUCAAAACUAUUUGUCAAAAAAUAAACAUCAAAAAGGGGUAAAAUCAUUGAUCAAUCUCCCCCAAUGUUCACAAUAUGGUAGGGUUUUACUGUGUAUUCAGGAGAAUCAAUCAAAGAACAUCAAACAAAGAAAUUAUAAACAGGAAUGGAGCAUGGCCGAGGAGCUUCUCCAAAAUAAAGUGUGGACAUAUGUAUGGAUUUUA